GCCUCCUUAGUCCAGUGGUUACGCCGCUGCGACUAUGACCUCUUCAAGAAAUUGAGAGGUCAAGGGUUCAAGUCCCACAGGAGGCA